rnacentral:rRNA from 1 species
GCUGUUAGACUAGCCAUGCACGUCUAAGUACAAACUAAAUGAUGGUGAAACUGCAAAUGGCUCAUUACAACGGUUAUGAUGUACCCGGGAGUUCCGAUGGAUAUUUCCAGUAACACUAGAACUAAUACAUGUCCCUGCGUUUAUUAGUUUCGCACAGUCCGUCGCUGAGUCAUGGUAAACAGUUGAUCGACUCGACGUCCCGGAACAGUUUCCGCCCCAUCAGCUUCGAUGGUUGGGUAUUGGCCUACCAUUGCAACAACGGGUAACGAGGAAUUAGGGUUUGAUUUCGGAGAGGGAGCCUGAGAAACGGCUACCACAUCUACGGAUGGCAGCAGGCGCGCAAAUUACCCAAUGCAGACACUGUGAGGUAGUGACGAGAAAUAAUAAAGCGGGACUUCUGUUCCGCUAUUAUAAUGAGGAAUAACCAAAGGUCGUUCCGAUUAGCAACUGAUGGGAAAGUCUGGUGCCAGCAGCCGCGGUAAUACCAGCGUCAGUAGCAU